GAUGAACGCUGGCGGCGUGCCUAAUACAUGCAAGUCGAGCGAACGGACGAGAAGCUUGCUUCUCUGAUGUUAGCGGCGGACGGGUGAGUAACACGUGGAUAACCUACCUAUAAGACUGGGAUAACUUCGGGAAACCGGAGCUAAUACCGGAUAAUAUUUUGAACCGCAUGGUUCAAAAGUGAAAGACGGUCUUGCUGUCACUUAUAGAUGGAUCCGCGCUGCAUUAGCUAGUUGGUAAGGUAACGGCUUACCAAGGCAACGAUGCAUAGCCGACGUGAGAGGGUGGUCGGCCACACUGGAACUGAGACGCGGUCCAGACUCCUACGGGAGGCAGCAGUAGGGAAUCUUCCGCAAUGGGCGAAAGCCUGACGGAGCGACGCCGCGUGAGUGAUGAAGGUCUUCGGAUCGUAAUACUCUGUUAUUAGGGAAGAACAUAUGUGUAAGGAACUGUGCACAUCUUGACGGUACCUAAUCAGAAAGCCACGGCUAACUACGUG
rnacentral:rRNA from 1 species